rnacentral:rRNA from 1 species
AGCAGCCGCGGUAAUUCCAGCUCCAACAGCGUAUAUUAAAGUUGUUGCAGUUAAAAAGCUCGUAGUUGAAUUUCGGGGUUUAUCCGUUGGUCGGGCUUUUGGGUCUGUACUGGCGAGAUGGAUUCCUACCUUCUGAAUAACCAGCAUGUCAUUAAUUUGGUGCGUUGGGGAAGCAGAACUGUUACCUUGAAAAAAUUAGAGUGCUUAAAGCAGGCUAUUGCCUGAAUACAUUAGCAUGGAAUAAUGAAAUAGGACGCAUGGUUCUAUUUUGUUGGUUUCUAGGAUCACCGUAAUGAUUAAUAGGGAUAGUUGGGGGCAUUAGUAUUCAAUUGUCAGAGGUGAAAUUCUUGGAUUUAUUGAAGACUAACUUCUG